GUGGGGAAUAUUGGACAAUGGGCGAAAGCCUGAUCCAGCCAUGCCGCGUGUGUGAAGAAGGCCUUCGGGUUGUAAACUGCUUUUGUACGGAACGAAACGGUCCGGGUUAAUACCCUGGGCUAAUGACGGUACCGUAAGAAUAAGCACCGGCUAACUACGUGCCAGCAGCCGCGGUAAUACGUAGGGUGCAAGCGUUAAUCGGAAUUACUGGGCGUAAAGCGUGCGCAGGCGGUUAUAUAAGACAGAUGUGAAAUCCCCGGGCUCAACCUGGGAACUGCAUUUGUGACUGUAUAGCUAGAGUACGGUAGAGGGGGAUGGAAUUCCGCGUGUAGCAGUGAAAUGCGUAGAUAUGCGGAGGAACACCGAUGGCGAAGGCAAUCCCCUGGACCUGUACUGACGCUCAUGCACGAAAGCGUGGGGAGCAAACAGGAUUAGAAACCCGGGUAGUCC
rnacentral:rRNA from 1 species